rnacentral:lncRNA from 1 species
AAGAAAGCUAACAGUUGCCCUGGCAUAAUAUACUGAGUAAUUUUGCCCCACUAACUUGUCGAUGCCUCUUUAAUUGUAUGCUAAAUGAGAAACCAAAAUCAAUGUGAUGCAUUUUGAGAUUUUUUUUCUUUUUUCCCCUAAAUGUAAAUCUCUCUCUCUCUUUUAAACAAUUAUGAGCAUGUUUCAUGCCUUCCUGUUAAAAAUCCAAACAUUACAGAGGGUGUAGAGGAAAAUGUGAAAGCUUUCAGCCCCCUGGGCCUCUGUUAAGUUGGGUUUGUUUUUUCAUAAGCUGAAAAUUUAUUCAAUCUAAGUUGAAUUUUUUUUCUUUAUCUCCACAAUGUAUUGAAGUAAAUACAUAAACAUAAACCAAAUG